rnacentral:tRNA from 1 species
GCGCGAUUAGCUCAGUUGGUAGAGCAGUGCUUUUACACAGCAAAGGUCGGGGGUUCGAGUCCCUCAUCGCGCA